rnacentral:rRNA from 1 species
GUGCAGCCGCCGCGCGGUAAUACGUAGGGUCCAAGCGUUAAUCGGAAUUACUGGGCGUAAAGCGUGCGCAGGCGGUUGUGCAAGACCGAUGUGAAAUCCCCGGGCUUAACCUGGGAAUUGCAUUGGUGACUGCACGGCUAGAGUGUGUCAGAGGGGGGUAGAAUUCCACGUGUAGCAGUGAAAUGCGUAGAGAUGUGGAGGAAUACCGAUGGCGAAGGCAGCCCCCUGGGAUAACACUGACGCUCAUGCACGAAAGCGUGGGGAGCAAACAGGAUUAGAUACCCUGGUAGUCCACGCCCUAAACGAUGUCAACUAGUUGUUGGGGAUUCAUUUCCUUAGUAACGUAGCUAACGCGUGAAGUUGACCGCCUGGGGAGUACGGUCGCAAGAUUGAAACUCAAGGGGAAUUGGCGG